AUACUUGGAGGCCAUGUCACCUGAGAGUCAAUGGGCAACGAUCAAAUUUCACCUUGAGCAGAUUCUUUUGUUUGCUUUUUAGUCACAAAUAGCUUGGCCCUAAGUGGUGGCUCCCAUUCUUGUAAGAUGCGUUUAUUCAUCGUGUAAUCACCAGUUCCCUGUAGUGGGGGCGUGGAUGGAGUGUCAGAGGCUCCUGCUGGUCUUUAGGGUGUCUGGCCUCCAGGAAUCCUAGAGGUAGUAUUUGGAGAGAUUUUUAAAAGCUUUGUUUCUGUGACCAGCAAAACCUGGAUUUGACACUGAGGUCAGCCCGUUUCAGCCAGUGACGUAACCUGUCUUUUUGCCCCAGUAAAUUGGGAACUACAGCACUCGAUGUUAGAGUUGUCGUGAAGAUUAAAGAAGGUGACGACUGGACAACUCCCAGCCCAAUACCUGAAACUGUACCAGCACCCAGUGAGCACUGCUAUUCCUGUGACUGCUGCACAUUUGCCUUAUCUCAGCAGUAUGCCUGUGUCACUUUUUUGUGAAGAGAACAUCCCGUGUACUAUCGUGUAGAAGUUGUAGUAGACGCUGUGGUCUUUCCAACAACAAACAAACUGCUGGGACAGGACCCAGGAGGUUCCGGAGGAUCAGGAGGUCCACCUGGGAGAAGAGCUGAUCGGCUAGUAGGAGAGCUGGAAAAGCAACAGACACCUCCUUAGUCCCUUCCCUGGGGCCCGGCUCCAGUCUGAGCUGUCACGCCACAGCAAAGGCAUCACUUCAGGACAGCAAAGCCCCUGUCUCCCUCCCUUCCAGCUCCUCAGACUUCACCCUGGUAACACGUUUGUUUAAAAAACAUAUUUUUCCCCCUUGUAAAGAAUCUAGGAUACACGGGGUCAGCCCAGCAGUUUAGGUAUCAUGAAGAAACUGCUCUCGGAGCUAAAGUAAGAAACAGUGCCUGUCUAUAGCGCAAAUAAAGAGUUGGAACAAGAUAAAA
rnacentral:sRNA from 1 species